CUAUGAUAACGCUGGUCGGUAUGCUCCACACAUGCAAGUCGGACGAAAGUUUAUACUUUAGCUGGCGGACGGGUGAGUAAUACGUAGAAUCUACCUUUAGAGAAGGGAAUAACAAUUGGAAACGAGUGCUAAUGCCCUAUAUGCUUAGCAGUGAAACAGAUGAUCUGCCUGAAGAUGAGCUCGCGCCUGAUUAGCUAGUUGGUAGAGUAAAAGCCUACCAAGGCAACGAUCAGUAGCUGGUUUGAGAGGACGAUCAGCCACACUGGGACUGAGACACGGACCAGACUUCAUACGGAAGGCAGCAGUGGGGAAUUUUCCGCAAUGAGCGAAAGCUUGACGGAGCAAUACCGUGUGAGGGAAGAAUGCCUGUGGGUUGUAAACCUCUUUUUACAGGGAAGAAAAUAUGACGGUACCUAAAGAAUAAGCAUCGGCUAACUCCGUGCCAGCAGCCGCAGUAAUACGGGGGAUGCAAGCGUUAUCCGGAAUUACUGGGGCGUAAAGCGUCUGCAAGUGGCUUAAAAAGUCUGCUUGUUACAUUUAGAGCUCAACUCUGAAUAAGCAGUGGAAACUGUAAGGCUAGAGUAUGGUAUGGGUAAAGGGAACUCCCAAUGUUGCAGGAGAACUGCGUAGCUAUUGGGAAGAAAACCAGUUGCAAAAGCGCAUUACUAGAACAAUACUGAAAUCAGAGACAAAGCUCGGGAGCAAUGCCGC
rnacentral:rRNA from 1 species